rnacentral:rRNA from 1 species
CUCGUGUCGUGAGAUGUUGGGUUAAGUCCCGCAACGAGCGCAACCCUUAAGCUUAGUUGCCAUCAUUAAGUUGGGCACUCUAGGUUGACUGCCGGUGAUAAACCGGAGGAAGGUGGGGAUGACGUCAAAUCAUCAUGCCCCUUAUGAUUUGGGCUACACACGUGCUACAAUGGACAAUACAAAGGGCAGCUAAACCGUGAGGUCAUGCAAAUCCCAUAAAGUUGUUCUCAGUUCGGAUUGUAGUCUGCAACUCGACUACAUGAAGCUGGAAUCGCUAGUAAUCGUAGAUCAGCAUG